GAGAAAGAGAAGAUGAAGAGAAGAAGAGGAGGAGGGAGUGGUGCAAAGUUGUUUGUUGUUUUUCUUGUUGUUGUGUUUUUCUUUUUCUUUUUUGUGUGUGAGUUCUUUUUUUGUUUUAUCC
rnacentral:ribozyme from 14 species